AAGCGCUUGCAAUCAGACUUGCAUGCAGUUGAUCAUCCGAUGUUCUCACCGGUGCACUCAAUUGCGUACAGGCCAGCAUCGGUUUUGGUGGUUGUAUAAAGGCCUAAGGAAUGUAGCUUCCUUCGGGGAGUGUUAUAGCCCUAGGCGCAAUGCAGCCCGCUGGGACCGAGGACCGCGCUUCGGCUAGGAUGUUGGCGUAAUGGUUGCAAGCGA
rnacentral:rRNA from 1 species